rnacentral:rRNA from 1 species
GAUGAACGCUGGCGGCGUGCCUAAUACAUGCAAGUCGAGCGAACAGACGAGGAGCUUGCUCCUCAGACGUUAGCGGCGGACGGGUGAGUAACACGUGGAUAACCUACCUAUAAGACUGGGAUAACUUCGGGAAACCGGAGCUAAUACCGGAUAAUAUAUUGAACCGCAUGGUUCAAUAGUGAAAGACGGUUUUGCCGUCACUUAUAGAUGGAUCCGCGCCGCAUUAGCUAGUUGGUAAGGUAACGGCUUACCAAGGCAACGAUGCGUAGCCGACCUGGGAGGGUGAUCGCCCACACUGGAACUGAGCCACGGUCCAGACUCCUACGGGAGGCAGCAGUAGGGAAUCUUCCGCAAUGGGCGAAAGCCUGACGGAGCAACGCCGCGUGAGUGAUGAAGGUCUUCGGAUCGUAAAACUCUGUUAUUAGGGAAGAACAAAUGUGUAAGUAACUAUGCACGUCUUGACGGUACCUAAUCAGAAAGCCACGGCUAACUACGUG